rnacentral:rRNA from 1 species
GAUGAACGCUGGCGGCGUGCCUAAUACAUGCAAGUCGAGCGAACAGAUGAGGAUCUUGCUCCUCUGACGUUAGCGACGGACGGGUGAGUAACACGUGGAUAACCUACCUAUAAGACUGGGAUAACUUAGAGAAACCGGAGCUAAUACCGGAUAAUAUAUUGAACCGCAUGGUUCAGUAGUGAAAGACGGUUUUGCUGUCACUUAUAGAUUGAUCCGCGCCGCAUUAGCUAGUUGGUAGGGUAACGGCUUACCAAGGCAACGAUGGGUAGCCGACGUGAGAGGGUGAUCGGCCACACUGGAACUGAGACACGGUCCAGACUCCUACGGGAGGCAGCAGUAGGGAAUCUUCCGCAAUGGGCGAAAGCCUGACGGAGCAACGCCGCGUGGGUGAUGAAGGUCUUCGGAUCGUAAAACUCUGUUAUUAGGGAAGAACAAAUGUGUAAGUAACUAUGCACGUCUUGACGGUACCUAAUCAGAAAGCCACGGCUAACUACGUG